AACGAACGCUGGCGGCGUGGAUAAGACAUGCAAGUCGAACGCUGAUUUCAGGGUAGCAAUAUUCUGGAGUCGGAGUGGCGCAAGGGUGCGUAACACGUGGGUAAUCUGCCGUGAAGCCUGAAAUAACUCGCUGAAAGGCGAGCUAAUGUCGGAUGUGAUGUUUGGGAGGCAUCUCCUGAACCUCAAAGCUGGGGACCGUAAGGCCUGGCACUUCAUGAUGAGCCCGCGGCCUAUCAGCUAGUUGGUGAGGUAACGGCUCACCAAGGCUAAGACGGGUAGCUGGUCUGAGAGGACGACCAGCCACACUGGAACUGAGACACGGUCCAGACACCUACGGGUGCUG
rnacentral:rRNA from 1 species